rnacentral:tRNA from 1 species
GGCAAGGUAGUCUAAGAGUAAAGAAUAAGGCAGUAGGGUGUGGUCCUUCAGAUACAUCUUUAAAGGUGUCCUUGUUA